CACCGCGGUUAUACGAGAGGCUCAAGUUGACAGACAACGGCGUAGAGCGUGGUUAGAGGAAAUACUUAACUAAAGCGGAACCCCCUCAUAGCUGUUAUACGCUUACGAGAGGAUGAACCACAACUACGAAAGUGGCUUUACUUCACUUGAACCCACGAAAGCUAAGAAA
rnacentral:rRNA from 1 species